UACGGGGGGAGCAAGCGUUGUUCGGAUUUACUGGGCGUAAAGGGCGCGUAGGCGGCCACCGCAAGUCGACUGUGAAAUCUCCGGGCUUAACCCGGAAAGGUCAGCCGAUACUGCGGGGCUAGAGUGCAGAAGGGGCAACUGGAAUUCUCGGUGUAGCGGUGAAAUGCGUAGAUAUCGAGAGGAACACCUGCGGCGAAGGCAGGUUGCUGGGCUGACACUGACGCUGAGGCGCGAAAGCUAGGGGAGCGAACGGG
rnacentral:rRNA from 1 species